rnacentral:rRNA from 1 species
UCUCCUGAAGGAACGUUGAAGACGACGACGUUGAUAGGUCGGGUGUGUAAGCGCAGCGAUGCGUUGAGCUAACCGAUACUAAUGAACCGUGAGGCUUAACCUU